UCAGGUGGAACUGCCUACGCAAGUAGUGAGGAAGCGGGGAUGACGUCAAAUCAGCACGGCCCUUACGUCCAGGGCUACACACGUGCUACAAUGCCGAUACAGAGGGCAGCUACCUGGUGACAGGAUGCAAAUCUACCAAAGUCGGUCUCAGUUCGGAUCGGAGUCUGCAACCCGACUCCGUGAAGUUGGAUUCGCUAGUAAUCGCGCAUCAGCCAUGGCGCGGUGAAUACGUUCCCGGGCCUU
rnacentral:rRNA from 1 species